CGUCUGUCCGGUGUAAAAUAUUUGAAACAUUUCCACUGAAACUACUGAACCAAUUCCAGUAAAACUUAUAAACUGAAUGAUUCUUAGGAUAUCUAGAAUAAAGUUUGUGUUCUAUUUUCUAUUUUGUAAAAAAACAUGGCCGCCAUGGGUAAAAUAAGAACAUGGGGGUAAAAUGCAGUGUGUAGCUCAUAUCUCAAACACUAAAGCCUUUUAAGAGCAAAUUUUCAGAUGAAUCUAACAACCCAUUGUUGGGUUGCUGCCACUAAAUUGUUAAUUGUACGGAAAUUUUGCAGUUUUGGUUAUUAUCUUGAAUAUUAUUAAUGACAAAGAUAAAC
rnacentral:lncRNA from 1 species